rnacentral:rRNA from 1 species
GACGAACGCUGGCGGCGUGCCUAAUACAUGCAAGUCGAACGCUUCUUUCCUCCCGAGUGCUUGCACUCAAUUGGAAAGAGGAGUUGCGGACGGGUGAGUAACACGUGGGUAACCUACCCAUCAGAGGGGGAUAACACUUGGAAACAGGUGCUAAUACCGCAUAACAGUUUAUGCCGCAUGGCAUAAGAGUGAAAGGCGCUUUCGGGUGUCGCUGAUGGAUGGACCCGCGGUGCAUUAGCUAGUUGGUGAGGUAACGGCUCACCAAGGCCACGAUGCAUAGCCGACCUGAGAGGGUGAUCGGCCACACUGGGACUGAGACACGGCCCAGACUCCUACGGGAGGCAGCAGUAGGGAAUCUUCGGCAAUGGACGAAAGUCUGACCGAGCAACGCCGCGUGAGUGAAGAAGGUUUUCGGAUCGUAAAACUCUGUUGUUAGAGAAGAACAAGGACGUUAGUAACUGAACGUCCCCUGACGGUAUCUAACCAGAAAGACACGGCUAACUACGUG